AACUCAGUUGUCCUAGUGGUUAGAGCGUCCGCCUCGGGUGCGGGACGUCGUGGAUUCAAUCCCCGUUCGAGUCA